AUGAACGCUGGCGGCGUGCCUAAUACAUGCAAGUCGAGCGAACAGACGAGGAGCUUGCUCCUCUGACGUUAGCGGCGGACGGGUGAGUAACACGUGGAUAACCUACCUAUAAGACUGGGAUAACUUCGGGAAACCGGAGCUAAUACCGGAUAAUAUAUUGAACCGCAUGGUUCAAUAGUGAAAGACGGUUUUGCUGUCACUUAUAGAUGGAUCCGCGCCGCAUUAGCUAGUUGGUAAGGUAACGGCUUACCAAGGCAACGAUGCGUAGCCGACCUGAGAGGGUGAUCGGCCACACUGGAACUGAGACACGGUCCAGACUCCUACGGGAGGCAGCAGUAGGAAAUCUUCCGCAAUGGGCGAAAGCCUGACGGAGCAACGCCGCGUGAGUGAUGAAGGUCUUCGGAUCGUAAAACUCUGUUAUUAGGGAAGAACAAAUGUGUAAGUAACUAUGCACGUCUUGACGGUACCUAAUCAGAAAGCCACGGCUAACUACGUG
rnacentral:rRNA from 1 species